CUGUACGACAAAUUAUUGAUUAACUUUUCCCAACACAAUUGCCUUUUUCAAAUAUUGUGGGGUGUCACCAAUGGCAAUGUAAUCAACCUUUUUAAUGAAAUUAGGUAAUGACAGAAUUUCGACUUAAUGUAAUAUCAUAUUUUUGUGUAUAUAUGUAUAUACUGGAUAUAUUUCUUAAUAAUCAAAUUGUACGUAUUACUACUGUAUAUGUAUAUUUUUUACGGAUGAAGAGCCACUUGUUGGAAACGCAUAAUUAAAUAGUAUUAUUAAAAUGAUAAUUCUAUGAUUAAAAUUUAAAAGAAUUAACAUUUUCAUUAUUUUUUUCCCAUAAUUUUGCACCAAACUUUAUUCCAGAACGUUACCAUGGCUGCCAAUAACCGGGAACAAUACUUUGAUUAGCGGUUGGCUAAAUAAAAAUACAGGUUAUAGAAUCAUGUCUCGUUGUUUAUGGUUUCAACAAAAUAAACAAAUGUCAUUCAUAUUACCUAAACAUGAAAAUAAUUUUGUUUUCAACCGAAUCAUUUGUCAAAGUUGAACUUCUUCUGGAAAUUUGUGAUAACCAAUUCCAUCAUGAAUUGAGACCGUCAUGGCUUCUCCCACUUUGUCUUCAUCGUUCAAAAGUUGAAUAAAACCUUCUGCCACGGUGUCGGCACU